AAAGAGCAAAUUGAUUUUUACGGUUAAAAAUUGGAAUAGCUGAUGGAAUAAUUAGAAAGUAACACGUGAUAUGUCUCUUGUACCUCAUGUUGACCUAUAGGGAUCACUUUUUAAUGGUGAAAAUAGAUGAAAUUGCUCUUU
rfam:Gossypium arboreum cultivar AKA8401 contig_1520_3, whole genome shotgun sequence.